UCCGAACCAAACGCUCAGCUUCGAGACGGCUUUUGGUGGAAGCGCCUCCGUCCACAGCCCAUUUACCACAGACCACGAGAAGCCAACCGAAGUCCGUGUCUUCAGGAAGUCGGAUGACUUCUCGCAUUCCACACGGGUGAUUCCUUCGUCCCCAACCCUAAGGUUUCGGCAACCUGUCGUUCCCGUGUCUCCGCCGCCACUUCGGACGGUCUAGCUCCACCAUCGUCCGCCCAUCGCCACGGUAAGACUUUCUCCCCCUGUGCCAGUUGAUUUUUUCUCGUCGUGCCCUCUGUUUGGUCGCCAUCUGACAUCCGCCUUCUCCAUCGGAUGCUCUUUCUGCUAGACCUUCGCGUUGUUACCAAGGUCAAUCGCCGCCAUUUUGCCGGCAUGACACAUUUCGUCUCCUCCAUUACGUCGUCUUGUUCGUCCUUGCUUUUGCUCUAACUGCUCGUUCGUUGGCCUUGCAGGUGAAUCCAAGGUUGCAUUUUCGCGAUACGCUUCGAAUCCGUUCGUUGAUCCCGAUAGUUCACGUUGCUAGUGGCCAGUAUGUCGUUUCCAUCCUUCAAUCCUCAUUUCUCGAUUGGAUAUGAUUCAAAUCGAACCGUAUUUUGUUUAUUUGGCCCCUCACUGCUCCCUUUGAUUCGUUUCUAAGAGAACUUAGAGCGGAGUGAAUAGGUGAUCCUGUAAAAAUUUAAAACUUGUAGCCACAAAACUUGGUUAAGUGUUAGCACAAUGAAAUCAAGUGGCUAAGGACCGAGCUCUUGUGAAACACAAUGGUCACAAGGAAAACAAGCACAAGAGACACGGUGAUUUAUCCCGUGGUUCGGCCAAGUAUAACACUUGCCUACUCCACGUUGUGGCGUCCCAAUGGACGAGGGUUGCACUCAACCCCUCUCAAGUGAUCCAAUGACCGACUUGAAUACCGGUGUUUUCUUUCUUAUACUCUUUCCCGUUUGCGAGGAAUCUCCACAACUUGGAGCCUCUCGCCCUUACAAUUGAUGAUCAAAAAGAAGCACGGAAGUAAGGUUGGGAAGAGCAACACACACAAGACUCAAAGCACGAGCACAAUCACGCACACAAGCCACAACUUGAGCUCACAACACAACUCAAGGAGUUCUCUACUCAAAUGGAGCUCAAGUCACUAUCUCAAAGAAUCGAAUGCGCGAGAAUGGAGUCUUGGUGCUUAGGAAUGAUCAAGGAAUGCUUGAGUGACUCCUCCCUAUGCCUAGGGGUCCCUUUUAUAGCCCCAAGGCAGCUAGGAGCCGUUGGAACCCAACAAGGAAGGCAAUUCUUGCCUUCUGUCGGGUGGCGCACCGGACAGUCCAGUGCACCACCGGACAACCACUGUAGCAUGUUCGGUGCGGAUCUCCUUCCAUUCCUGGCGCAGCCGACCGUUGGAUCUUUGGGCUAGUUGGCGCACCGGACACUGUCCGGUGCACACUGGACAGUCCAAUGCCCCCAGCCGACCGUUGGCUGGGGCCACGCGUCGCGCGCGGAUUGCGCGGCCGACCGUUGCGCUGGCGGCCGUUGGCUCACCGGACAGUCCGGUGCACCACCGGACAGUCCGGUGAAUUAUAGCCGUAAGCCGCCGACGAAUUACCAAGAGUGGCCAGUUCGCCAGAGCCCAGCCUGACGCACCGGACAUUGUCUGGUGCACCCAGACUGAGCAGCAUUUGGCUGUACACAGCCAACUCUUUUCCAAUCCUUUUCUUUUCCUGAUUCUAGCACUUAGACAAAUAUAUUAGUACACAAAAACCAAUGUACUAAGUCUAGAACCAUACCUUCUUGUCGAUUUGCACUUCAUCCAUCAUUUGGUAUAUAAUUACUCACUCAAUAUGUGUUGGGCACUUAAUCACCAAAAUAUACUAGAAAUGGCCCAAGGGCACAUUUCCCUUUCAAUCUCCCCCUUUUUGGUGAUUUAUGCCAACACAUCAAAAAGCAACAAAUAGAGGUGCAACGUCAAUGCAAUUGAGAAUAAAAAUAGUCUUUGACAAGAUUUGACAUAUUUGGAUCGUUCUUCGCCACCACUUGGUUUGUUUUUGCAAAUCAAAUUCAUUUUCCUAUCUCUAAGUUAAACACACAUGUUUAGACACAAGGAGAGAUAAUCCAAGAGUAAAAAUGAUUAAUAGCCAAAAACUCCCCCUUUUUCCCAUAAUCAAACAUUCUCCCCACAAGAGACCAAAUUUUGAUAGUAAGAGUUAUUUUGACAAAUCAAAAGUUCUACUCUACUCUUUUUCAAAAAUUUUACAAGUGGUAGCUGAUCCAUUUGCUUUGGCCUUAUUUUCUCCCCCUUUGGCAUUAAGCACCAAAACGGGAUCAAUCUUGGCCCUUAAACCCCAUUGCCUCACCAAAAUCGUCAAUUACGAGUAAAAAGGCAAUAAGAGCAUGGAGAUGAACUUGGAGUAAAUUACCCUCUCAUCGGAGUGCAGUGGAAGUCUUGCAUGGUCCAAGUUCACCUUUCCCUUUCAAUCCACUUUUGAGACUCAAACAAGUAAACUCAAACACAAGGUUAGUCUCAAAGUGUCAAGUUGUAGCAUGCCUCCCCCUAAAUAAGUGCAUCACUUGCAAAUGGACUUGUGAGGUCCGGGGAUCAUGUGUACAACUUGAGCACCACAAAUGAACAAAAUAGAUUGAAAUGCAUAAAUUACAUGAUCAAAGGCAUAAAACACAUGUAUGUUAUAGAUCAAUCCAAGUUACGCGAAUCUAAGACAUUUAGUUCACUACGUAGCCUGCAAAAGGUCUUUUCAUCUAAAGGCUUGGUAAAGAUAUCGGCUAGCUGGUUCUCGGUGCUAACAUAAAACACUUCGAUAUCUCUCUUUUGCUGGUGGUCUCUCAAAAAGUGAUGCCGAAUGUCUAUGUGCUUAGUGCGGCUGUGUUCAACAGGAUUAUCCGCCAUGCGGAUUGCACUCUCAUUAUCACAUAGGAGUGGGACUUUGCUUAGAUUGUAGCCAAAGUCUCGGAGGGUUUGCCUCAUCCAAAGUAGUUGCGUGCAACAUUGUCCUGCGGCAACAUACUCGGCCUCAACGGUGGAUAGGGCAACGGAAGUUUGUUUCUUUGAACUCCAAGACACUAGGGACCUUCCUAGGAAUUGGCAUGUCCCUGAUGUACUCUUCCUAUCAACCUUGCACCCGGCAUAAUCGGAGUCUGAAUAUCCAAUCAAGUCAAAGGUAGACCCCUUUGGAUACCAGAUCCCGAAGCAAGGCGUAGCAACUAAAUAUCUAAGAAUCCGCUUAACGGCCACAAGGUGACAUUCCCUUGGGUCAGAUUGAUAUCUAGCACACAUGCAAACGCUGAGCAUAAUAUCCGGUCUACUAGCACAUAAGUAAAGCAAGGAACCUAUCAUAGACCGGUAUGCCUUUUGAUCAACGGACUUACCUCUUUUGUUGAGGUCGACAUGUCCGUCGGUUCCCAUUGGAGUCUUUGCGAGCUUUGUGUCCUUCAUCCCAAACCGCUUGAGCAAGUCUUGCGUGUACUUCGUUUGGGAGAUGAAGGUGUCGUCCUUGAGUUGCUUCACUUGGAACCCAAGGAAGUAGUUUAACUCGCCCAUCAUCGACAUCUCAAAUUUCUGAGUCAUCACCCUGCUAAACUCUUCACAAGACUUUUGGUUAGUAGAACCAAAUAUUAUGUCAUUGACAUAAAUUUGGCACACAAAUAAGUCACCAUCACAAGUCUUAGUGAAUAGAGUUGGAUCGGCUUUCCCAACCUUGAAAGCAUUAGCAAUUAGAAAAUCUCUAAGGCAUUCAUACCAUGCUCUUGGGGCUUGCUUAAGUCCAUAGAGCGCCUUAGAGAGCUUACACACAUGAUCGGGGUACCGUUCAUCCUCAAAGCUAGGGGGUUGCUAUACGUACACCUCCUCCUUGAUUGCCCAUUGAGGAAAGCGCUCUUCACAUCCAUUUGGAACAACCUGAAGGAAUGGUGAGCGACAUAGGCUAACAAAAUGCGAAUAGACUCUAGCCUAGCCACAGGAGCAAAAGUCUCCUCAAAGUCCAAACCUGCGACUUGGGCAUAACCUUGUGCCACAAGUUGAGCCUUGUUCCUUGUCACCACCCCGUGCUCAUCCUGUUUGUUGCGGAACACCCACUUGGUUCCCACAAUGUUUUGCUUGGGACGUGGCACCAGGGUCCAAACUUUAUUUCGCUUGAAGUUGUUGAGCUCUUCCUGCAUGGCCAACACCCAAUCCGGAUCUAGCAAGGCCUCUUCUACCCUGAAAGGCUCAAUAGAAGAGACAAACGAGUAAUGCUCACAAAAAUUAGCUAAUCUAGAGCGAGUAGUUAUUCCCUUGCUUAUAUCACCCAAAAUCUAGUCGACAGGAUGAUUCUUUUGAAUCAUCGCUCGGACUUGAGUUGGAGGGGCCAGUGGUGCUUCUUCCUCCACAACUUGUUCUUCUUGUGCUCCCCCUUGAUCACACGCCUCCUCUUGAGGAGCAUGUUCUUCAUCUUGAGUCGGGGGAUGCACCAUCGUUGAGGAAGAAGGUUGAUCUUGCUCUUGGUGUUCCUGUGGUCGCACAUCUCCAAUAGCCAUGGUGUGAAUUGCGUCCGUUGGAACAUCAUCUUCAUCUACAUCAUCAAGAUCAACUUGCUCUCUUGGAGAGCCAUUAGUUUUAUCAAAUACAACGUCGCUAGAGACUUCAACCAAACCCGAUGAUUUGUUGAAGACUCUAUACACUUUUGUAUUUGAGUCAUAACCUAAUAAAAACCCUUCUACAGCUUUGGGAGCAAAUUUGGAAUUCCUACCUUUCUUCACUAGAAUGUUACAUUUACUCCCAAAUACACGAAAAUAUGAAACGUUGGGUUUGUUACCGGUUAGAAGUUCGUAUGACGUCUUCUUGAGGAGGCGAUGAAGGUAGACCCGGUUUAUGGCGUGGCAAGCUGUGUUCACAGCUUCCGACCAAAACCGCUCGGGUGUCUUGAAUUCUCUAAGCAUCGUCCUCGCCAUGAAUAUAAGCGUCCUGUUCUUCCUCUCUACCACACCAUUUUGCUAUGGUGUGUAGGGAGCAGAUAACUCGUGCUUGAUUCCUUCCUCCUCAAGAAACUCUUCCACUUGAAGAUUCUUGAACUCGGACCCGUUGUCGCUUCUUAUAUUUUUCACCUUGAGCUCAAAUUCGUUUUGAGCUCUCCUUAGGAAGCGCUUUAGGGUCCCUUGGGUUUCUGAUUUAUCCUGCAAAAAAGAAUACCCAAGUGAAGCGGGAAAAAUCAUCAACAAUAAUAAGACCAUACUUACUUCCCCCGAUGCUGAGGUAGGCGACGGGUCCGAAGAGGUCCAUGUGAAGUAGCUCCAGAGGUCUUGAUGUGGUCAUCACAUUCUUGCUGUGGUGAGUACUUCCCACUUGUUUACCUGCUUGACAAGCUGCACAAGGUCUAUCUUUUUCGAAAGUUACAUUGGUUAGACCUAACACAUGUUCUCCCUUUAGAAGUUUAUGAAGGUUCUUCAUCCCAACAUGUGCUAGACGGUGAUGCCACAGCCAGCCCAUGCUAGUCUUAGCGAUUAAGCAUGCAUCUAGAUUGGCCUCCUCUUUCGAAAAAUCAACUAAAUAGAGUUUGCCGUCUAGUACACCCUUAAAAGCUAAUGAACCAUCACUCCUUCUAAAGACAGACACAUCUACAUUGGUAAAUAAGCAAUUGUAACCCAUAUUACAUAGUUGACUAACGGACAACAAGUUAUACCCGAGUGAUUCAACUAAGAACACAUUAGAUAUGGAAUGCGCGGAUGAAAUAGCUAUCUUUCCUACUCCUUUAACCUUGCCUUGAUUCCCGUCUCCAAAGAUGAUCGAAUCUUGGGAAUCUUUGUUCUUGACAUAGGAGGUGAACAUCUUCUUCUCCCUCGUCAUGUGGUUUGUGCAUCCGCUGUCGAUAAUCUAGCUUGAGCCCCCGGAUGCAUAAACCUGCAAGGCAAAUUAGGCUUGGGUUUUAGGUACCCAACUCUUGUUGGGUCCUACAAGGUUAGUAACAAUAGCCUUAGGGACCCAAAUGCAAGUCUUGUCUCCCUUGCAUUUGGCCCCCAUCUUUUGAGCAACCACUUUUUCAUUUUUACGUGAAAGAACAAAUGUAGUGUUGCAAGCAUGAAAAAUAGUGGUAGGUUUAUUACAGACUUUUCGAGGAGCAUGAGACACAAAAUUUCUCCUAGACCUACCAUUAACAUUGGAACUUGAAGCAAUCAUGGCAUGUGAGUCAAAAACAUUAUAACUCCUAUUAUAAUGAAAAUUUCUAGAAUAUUUUUUAUCAUGGUACAUGAAAGCAUGAUUCUUUUGACUACUACUAGCCAUUGGGGCCUUCCCUUUCUCCUUGUUGGAAAUGGGAGCCCUUUGACUUGUUAAGUUCUUGGCUUCCCUUCAAAAGCCAAGCCCAUCCUUAAUUGAGGGAUGUCUACCAACGGUGUAGGCAUCCCUAGCAAAUUUUAAUUUAUCAAAGUCAUUUUUGCAAGUCUUAAGUUGGGCAUUAAGACUUGCUAUUUCAUCAUUAAGUUUUGUAAUAGAAGUAAGGUGCUCAACACAUGCAUCAACGUUGAAGUCCUUACACCUAUUACAAAUCACAACGUGCUCUACACAAGAACUAGAUUUAUUUACUACUUCUAGCUUAGCAUUUAAAUCAUCAUUAAUACUUUUUAAGUUAGACACAGUUUCAUGAUAAGUAGAUAAUUCACAAGAAAGCAUUUCAUUUCUUUUAACCUCUAAAGCAAGAGACUUUUGCACACUUACAAAUUUAUCAUGCUCUUCAUAUAAGGAUCCUCUUGCUUUUCUAAAAGUCUAUUCUUUUCAUUUAGAGCAUCAAUCAUUUCAUUGAAUUUUUCUACCUUGGCUCUAUCUAAACCUUUAAAUAAGCUAGAAUAGUCUACUUCAUCAUCACUAGAAUCUUCAUCGCUAGAAGUAGUAUAUUUAGGAGUUUCUCGAGCGCUUACCUUCUUCUCCUUUGCCAUUAGGCAAGUAUGGCGCUCGUUGGGGAAGAGAGACGACUUGUUGAAGGCCGAGGCGGCGAGUCCUUCGUCGUCGGAGUCAGACGAAGAGCAAUCUGAAUCCCACUCUUUGCCUAGGUGUGCCUCGCCCUUCGCCUUCUUGGAGGCCUUCUUCUUCUCCCUCUUCCCACCUUUUUCUUGUUCCUGGUCAUUAGCAUUAUCGGGACAAUUUGCUAUAAAAUGACCAGUCUUACCACAUUUAAAACAGGAACGCUUUCCCUUUGGUUUGCUCUUAUUGGGAUGCUCCUUUCGUCCUUUUAGCGCCGUCUUGAAGCGCUUGAUGAUGAGAUCCAUUUCAUCCUCGUUUAGCCCGACCGCCUUAACUUGCGCCACCUUGCUAGGUAGCGCCUCCCUGCUACUUGUUGCUUUGAGAGCAACGGUUUGAGGCUCGUAGAUGGGCAUUGGGCCAUUCAAUGGCUCAUCAACGUAUCUUGCUUCCUUGAUCAUCAUACGCCCGCUUACAAACUUUCCGAGUAUUUCCUCGGGCGUCAUCUUGGUAUACCUAGGAUUCUCAUGGGUUGAGUUCACAAGAUGAGGAUCAAGUACAGUGAAGGACCUGAGCAUUAGUCGGACGACGUCGUGGUCCGUCCAUCUCGUGCUUCCAUAGCUCCUGAUCUUGUUGACCAGGGUCUUGAGCCUGUUGUACGUUUGGGUUGGCUCCUCCCCCCUGAUCAUCGCGAACCUUCCUAGUUCGCCUUCCACCAACUCCAUCUUGGUGAUCAUGGUGGCGUCAUUCCCCUCAUGAGAAAUCUUGAGGGUGUCCCAAAUUUGCUUGGCGUUAUCCAAGCCGCUCACCUUGUGGUACUCGUCCCUGCACAAGGAUGCUAGCAAAACAGUGGUAGCUUGUGCAUUUUUAUGGAUUUGCUCAUUAAUGAAAACAGGGUUGUCAGUACUAUCAAAAAGCAUUCCGUUUUCAACGAUCUCCCAAAUACUUGGAUGGAGAGAGAAUAGGUGACUACGCAUUUUGUGACUCCAAAAUGAGUAGUCUUCUCCAUCAAAGUGCGGAGGUUUCCCAAGUGGAAUUGAAAGUAAAUGAGCAUUGGAGUUAAACGGAAUACGAGAAUAAUCAAAAGAAAAGUUUGAGUUAACCGGUUUCUUUUUCUCGUCGUAGUCGUUGUCUCUUGGGGAAGAAGAAGACUCGUCACUGUCGUAGUAGACGAUCUUCUUGAUGCGUCUCUUCUUCUUCCCAUCUCUUUUCUUAUGACUCGAGCUAGAGUCCGAGGGCUUAUCAUCUUUUGGCUCGUUGACGAUUACUCCUUUGUCUUGUCAUUGACCACCAUCCCCUUUCCCUUAGGAUUCAUCUCUUCAGGCGAUUAGUCCCUUUCGUGAAGAGAAUGGCUCCGAUACCAAUUGAGAGAACCUAGAGGGGGCUGAAUAGGUGAUCCUGUAAAAAUUUAAAACUUAUAGCCACAAAACUUGGUUAAGUGUUAGCACAAUGAAAUCAAGUGGCUAAGGACCGAGCUCUUGUGAAACACAAUGGUCACAAGGAAAACAAGCACAAGAGACACGGUGAUUUAUCCCGUGGUUCGGCCAAGUAUAACACUUGCCUACUCCACGUUGUGGCGUCCCAAUGGACGAGGGUUGCACUCAACCCCUCUCAAGUGAUCCAAUGAUCGACUUGAAUACCACGGUGUUUUCUUUCUUAUACUCUUUCCCGUUUGCGAGGAAUCUCCACAACUUGGAGCCUCUCGCCCUUACAAUUGAUGAUCACAAAGAAGCACGAAAGUAAGGUUGGGAAGAGCAACACACACAAGACUCAAAGCACGAGCACAAUCACGCACACAAGCCACAACUUGAGCUUACAACACAACUCAAGGAGUUCUCUACUCAAAUGGAGCUCAAGUCACUAUCUCAAAGAAUCGAAUGCACGAGAAUGAAGUCUUGGUGCUUAGGAAUGAUCAAGGAAUGCUUGAGUGACUCCUCCCUGCGCCUAGGGGUCCCUUUUAUAGCCCCAAGGCAGCUAGGAGCCGUUGGAACCCAAAAAGGAAGGCAAUUCUUGCCUUCUAUCGGGUGGCGCACCGGACAGCCACUGUAGCAUGUCCGGUGCGGAUCUCCUUCCAUUCCUAGCGCAGCCGACCGUUGGAUCUUUGGACUGGUUGGCGCACCGGACAUUGUCCGGUGCACACCGGACAGUCCGGUGCCCCCAACCGACCGUUGGCUGGGGCCACGCGUCGCGCGUGGAUUGCGCGGCCGACCGUUGCGCUGGCGGCCGUUGGCUCACCGGAUAGUCCGGUGAAUUAUAGCCGUAAGCCGCCGACGAAUUCCCGAGAGUGGCCAGUUCGCCAGAGCCCAGCCUGGCGCACCAGACACUGUCCGGUGCACCACCGGACAGUCCAAUGCACCCAGACUGAGCAGCAGUUGGCUGUACACAGCCAACUCUUUUCCAAUCCUUUUCUUUUCCUGAUUCUAUCACUUAGACAAAUAUAUUAGUACACAAAAACAAAUGUACUAAGUCUAGAACCAUACCUUCUUGUCGUUUGCACUUCAUCCAUCAUUUGGUAUAUAAUUACUCACUCAAUAUGUGUUGGGCACUUAAUCACCAAAAUAUACUAGAAAUGGCCCAAGGGCACAUUUCCCUUUCAGUUUCUGACAACAGAUUUUGAGCUAGUCCGUAGAUCUAGUUGUUGUGUUCAUCACCGGCAUCACAUUCAACUG
rnacentral:lncRNA from 1 species